rnacentral:rRNA from 1 species
AUUGAACGCUGGCGGCAGGCCUAACACAUGCAAGUCGAACGGUAACAGGAAGAAGCUUGCUUCUUUGCUGACGAGUGGCGGACGGGUGAGUAAUGUCUGGGAAACUGCCUGAUGGAGGGGGAUAACUACUGGAAACGGUAGCUAAUACCGCAUAACGUCGCAAGACCAAAGAGGGGGACCUUCGGGCCUCUUGCCAUCGGAUGUGCCCAGAUGGGAUUAGCUAGUAGGUGGGGUAACGGCUCACCUAGGCGACGAUCCCAAGCUGGUCUGAGAGGAUGACCAGCCACACUGGAACUGAGACACGGUCCAGACUCCUACGGGAGGCAGCAGUGGGGAAUAUUGCACAAUGGGCGCAAGCCUGAUGCAGCCAUGCCGCGUGUAUGAAGAAGGCCUUCGGGUUGUAAAGUACUUUCAGCGGGGAGGAAGGGAGUAAAGUUAAUACCUUUGCUCAUUGACGUUACCCGCAGAAGAAGCACCGGCUAACUCCGUG